UGAAAUAUUAUCAUUUAAAAUUGCAAAUCAACAUAAAAGAUGCAAGCUUUGGUAUUAGAAGAUUUGAAUCUUGAGUUUUAUUGUAGUAAAAUAUUUCUGUGGUUCAUUUAGUUAUAUACUUGACAUUCAUAUUUAACCCCUUCACUGUAAGUGAAAAUAUAUGUGGCAGCAGGAUGUUUGUUAUCCAAUAAUAAUCACCCUCUUUAAGCAUUUACACUAUUUAAUUCACAUCUGAAUACAACAUUACUACAACCUGUAACACUAUGACUGCCCUCUGUUAUUACCAGCCAGUGUGUUGACUGAUACCUAAGAAAGAUUGGUGUUACAGCAUAUUGUACACUUCAUAAGCUGUUCCAUUCAUAACAUACAAAAUGAUUUGCUUGCAAAAAUGUUAUGUACAUAACAGUGAAAGGGUUAAAUAUUUAUUAAGUAUAAGUAAUAACAAUAUGGAUUGUGUAUUGAUAGCAAGCUGUAGAAGUAAUUGUUCAACCGACAGUGACCUCACAUGUUUGACUACACUAACAAAAGUGUGUGAACUGUGUAGCUCUAAGUUUUCUGUGUAAUAUUCUCCAUUCCCUAGUUACGCUAGCUUUAGUCCAUAUAUUUUCAUGCACUUGAAAGUAAUGUUUCAGUGAUCACAAAAGUUAUGCAGUUUCAAAUGAGAGGUUUACUAACAUUUCUGAACACAUCUCAGUUUUGGUUAACAUUGGACAACGCUAAGAGAUACUUUACAUGAAGACCUACAUGCACUCCUGUACGCAGAAGUGACUGAGUGGGGGAAAUCAACAGGGUACCAUGAGUACCUGGGAAAUGGCCACCCACCUGUGCAAAGGUCACUGACCAAGACUGAUGUCACUGGUGUCCUUAAAGCUUUACUGUCCACUCUAUGACUUACAUCAACUGAUCUAUCUCCAGCAUAAUAGCAGAUGUCAUCAACCAGAGUAAGCAGGUUUGCCAGAGCUGGGGGAACAUUUGGAGGAAGUGACAUAAUCACAAGAGCUUGUGGCCACAUGCCGAUGUAUGGAAUAAUCAUACGAAGACGUUUCUCUACUGCACCUUGAAUGAAUAGUGCUGGUUCUUUACAUCUGUAAACAGUAAUAAUUGCCCAGGAAAAAAUAGUAUUACAGUAAAACAUCACUAAUUCAGACUAAAAGGGCUAGUCUGAAUUAGUGAAAAGCACAAAAAAUAAAGCAUAAUUAUAUGUAUUUUCAAGUUGUACUUCAUAAAAACAAAUUUUUUUCUCGAUCCAGGAACUUAGAUGGUAUAGGGACACAAAUGUGACAAAAAGGAAAAUAAAGUGGGAAAUGAUGUCAUUAAAUAAUCAUUUAGGAAAAUUCCAUUCUACAUAAACAUUAACAUUACUUCCAAUUCCUAGGAUUAUUAAAUGAAUUGUAAAGGAUGUGGAAGGAAGCAAUCAUGGCCUGUUUUAAGAUAUCCCAAGAUUUACCUGGAGAGAUUGAGGAAAACUACUCAGUCAAUGUAGCUGGUCUCUCAACUGAUGUCUGAACUCAACCUGACAGAUACUGAACAGAUGUUCAGUGGAAACGUGAAGAGGAAACAUAUGAUAUCAAUCAUAUACAAAAUUUUCUGUGAUCUAAAGUUAAAAUGUUAUACUAUACUGUACCUAGACCUGAGACUGGAUCUAACGAAGCCUUCACUCACAAUAUAGUAGCUGGGAAAGAUACCAGUUUGAAGAUACAUGCAGAUGUUGACAGACUGCUUACCUUCACAUUUAACAAAAUCCACCAAGAUUCUGUAUACAUUCCUUGAGUCCCCAUUUUAGCUAAAUGUCCAGCCUAUCACAACCUCCUUGUCUGUAGUAUGCUUCAUAGAUAGUUUUGUAGGAGAUAUAAACAUUUACAUUGUAAUAUCUUAAGAUCAGGAACUAGAAGUGAUAUUUUGCCUGCUAACCAUUGGCAAGUUAAUAUACUGGUGGCAAGUACAUUUGUGUUCUGUCUAUGUAUUAAAUUAUAUAUAUAAAUACAUUAAAAAUUCUACAAAAUGUU